rnacentral:rRNA from 1 species
UAAGGAAUAUUGGUCAAUGGACGCAAGUCUGAACCAGCCAUGCCGCGUGAAGGAUGAAGGUCCUCUGGAUUGUAAACUUCUUUUAUAGGGGGCGAAACACUUCUUUUCUAAGGAGCUUGACAGUACCCUAUGAAUAAGCACCGGCUAACUCCGUGCCAGCAGCCGCGGUAAUACGGAGGGUGCAAGCGUUAUCCGGAUUUACUGGGUUUAAAGGGUGCGUAGGCGGAUUUGUAAGUCCGAGGUGAAAUCUCCGAGCUUAACUCGGAAACUGCCUUGGAUACUAUAAGUCUUGAAUGACGUUGAGGUUAGCGGAAUAUGUCAUGUAGCGGUGAAAUGCUUAGAUAUGACAUAGAACAUCUAUUGCGAAGGCAGCUAACUAAGCGUAUAUUGACGCUGAUGCACGAAAGCGUGGGGAUCAAACA